UACGUAGGGUGCGAGCGUUGUCCGGAAUUAUUGGGCGUAAAGAGCUCGUAGGCGGUGUGUCACGUCGGCCGUGAAAACCUGCAGCUUAACUGUGGGCGUGCGGUCGACACGGGCAUCACUGGAGUUCGGCAGGGGAGACUGGAAUUCCUGGUGUAGCGGUGAAAUGCGCAGAUAUCGCUUGGAACGCCGACGGUGAAAACAGCUCGCUGGGGGUGUGCCGACGCUGAGACACGAAAGCCAGGGGAGCGAACGGG
rnacentral:rRNA from 1 species